rnacentral:lncRNA from 1 species
CUGGAGCCUUGUAAACGCACAGUUUCUCCUUUGCAAAGAUACACCCAAAUAAUAAAAAUAACUUGCAUCAAUGUUAAAUAAUUUGGAGUAUCAAUUAUCCUAUAACCUAACUAGUGAAUUGUCACUGUCACACAGGCUGGAAAGUUUCUUGAAGUCCUGAGCCUCACAACAGGCAACCUGCAGAAAGGAGCCCUGCAAUGAGGAGCUUGCAGAAAUCAUCUGGGUUCUAGCUGUAUCAUAUCUUGGGCUCAGUUGGCCCAGCACCAUGAAAACCUAUUUGAAAGACAUGGAAUAAAACAUCAUUAAAUGUUCCUAGAUGUUUUCCAGUGUUUCAACCAAAGAUGUUACCUGGGCAGUGGAAUUCUGUGGAGAAAUUGCUGGCUGCUGAUGUACCUGAUGUAUCUUGGUCCACGGGAGUGACUUUUGUACUCUAUGCACUCUGAUUUUACUCAGGAGCAACUUUUGAACUCUACAUGUGCUGAUUAUUCCUUCAUACUGGUAUUCUCUGAAGACUUUUCAGGUGGCUGCAUGGACAUUGUUGGAGGACAUGAAGUGCAUCCUCACUCCUGAGCUUAUAUGGCUGC